GACGUAGGGCGCGAGCGUGUCCGGAUUUAUUGGGCGUAAAGAGCUCGUAGGCGGUCUGUUGCGUCCGCCUGUGAAAAACUCGGGGCUUAACCCCGAGCCUGCAGUGGAUACGGGCAGACUAGAGGUAGGUAGGGGAGAAUGGAAUUCCCGGUGUAGCGGUGAAAUGCGCGAUAUCGGGAGGAACACCAGUGGCGAAGGCGGCGCCUGG
rnacentral:rRNA from 1 species